rnacentral:ribozyme from 11 species
GGAACGAAACAUCAUUUACCAUUUCUGUUUGUUUUUUUUCCUUCUUUUCUUCUUUCUCGUGUAUUG